UUCUAUUUUUAGUAGAGACGGGGUUUCACCAUGUUGGCCAGGCUGGUCUCAAAUCCCUGGCCUCAGGUGAUCCGCCAGCCUCAGCCUCCCAAAGUACUGGGAUUACAGGCGUGAGCCACCACGCCAAGGCUUUAUUUAUUUAUUUUUAUCACAAUAGUUGAGGCAAUAAGGGGGAAGGAGGGUGAUUAUGUUGCUUUGUAAUGGUUUGUGAUAUUUGAAACAUCGCGGUGCAUAAUAAAGUAGGUCUUCGAUGAAUACA